rnacentral:rRNA from 1 species
GAUAGGCUCAGGACGAACGCUGGCGGCGUGCUUAGCACAUGCAAGUCGAACGAGAAUCUGUGGAAAGAGGAUUCGUCCAAUUGAAGCAGAGGACAGUGGCGGACGGGUGAGUAACGCGUGAGGAACCUGCCUUUCAGAGGGGGACAACAGUUGGAAACGACUGCUAAUACCGCAUAACACAUUGAGGUCGCAUGGCCUUAAUGUCAAAGAUUUAUCGCUGAAAGAUGG